ACGGGUGAGUAACACGUGGGUGAUCUGCCCUGCACUUUGGGAUAAGCCUGGGAAACUGGGUCUAAUACCGAAUACACCUCAUUGGUCGCAUGGCCUGGUGGGGGAAAGCUUUUGCGGUGUGGGAUGGGCCCGCGGCCUAUCAGCUUGUUGGUGGGGUGAUGGCCUACCAAGGCGACGACGGGUAGCCGGCCUGAGAGGGUGUCCGGCCACACUGGGACUGAGAUACGGCCCAGACUCCUACGGGAGGCAGCAGUGGGGAAUAUUGCACAAUGGGCGCAAGCCUGAUGCAGCGACGCCGCGUGGGGGAUGACGGCCUUCGGGUUGUAAACCCCUUUCAGUAGGGACGAAGCGCAAGUGACGGUACCUACAGAAGAAGGACCGGCCAACUACGUGCCAGCAGCCGCGGUAAUACGUAGGGUCCGAGCGUUGUCCGGAAUUACUGGGCGUAAAGAGCUCGUAGGUGGUUUGUCGCGUUGUUCGUGAAAACUCACAGCUUAACUGUGGGCGUGCGGGCGAUACGGGCAGACUGGAGUACUGCAGGGGAGACUGGAAUUCCUGGUGUAGCGGUGGAAUGCGCAGA
rnacentral:rRNA from 4 species